GCGAGAAGUCCAUUGAACCUUAUCAUUUAGAGGAAGGAGAAGUCGUAACAAGGUUUCCGUAGGUGAACCUGCGGAAGGAUCAUUGUCGAGACCCAAAUAUAUCGAGCGAUUCGGAGAACCCGUGAAUGAGCGGCGGCAGCUGCCGUCGCGAAAUUGCCGUCCCAGCCGUGGCCUCAUCUCCGUGGUGGGGGGGGGGGCCACGAGGAAGGACGGAUGAAACUCAAACCGGCGCAGCUACGCGCCAAGGGAAUAUCGAAAAACACGAGCCCCGUAUCGGGUUUAGUGGCGUGGAGUGCGUCGCACACCACACGGAUCGACACGACUCUCGGCAAUGGAUAUCUCGGCUCUCGCAUCGAUGAAGAGCGCAGCGAAAUGCGAUACGUGGUGCGAAUUGCAGAAUCCCGCGAACCAUCGAGAAUUUGAACGCAAGUUGCGCCCGAGGCCAGCCGGCCAAGGGCACGUCCGCCUGGGCGUCAAGCGUUGCGUCGCUCCGUGCCAGCUCCACAUCCCAUCCGAUGGGUGUGUCGGCCGAGGCUCGGACGUGCAGAGUGGCUCGUCGUGCCCGUCGGUGCGGCGGGCUGAAGAGGGGGUCGUCGUCUCAUCGGCCACGAACAACAAGGGGUGGAUGGGAGCUACGAGCAAGGCCUACGUUGUCUCGUGCCGGCCUGAGAAAAGAUUAUACUCCCGUUUGAUCCCAACCCAUGCGCCGGUCCACGGACGGCGGCUUGGAAUGCGACCCCAGGAUGGGCGAGGCCACCCGCCGAGUUUAAGCAUAUCAAUAAGC
rnacentral:rRNA from 1 species